rnacentral:rRNA from 1 species
CCUACGGGAGGCUGCAGUGAGGAAUAUUGGUCAAUGGGCGCGAGCCUGAACCAGCCAAGUCGCGUGAGGGAGGACGGCCCUACGGGUUGUAAACCUCUUUUGCCGGGGAGCAACGGGCGCCACGUGUGGCGUCACUGAGAGUACCCGGAGAAAAAGCAUCGGCUAACUCCGUUCCAACAGCCGCGGUAAUAGGGAGGAUGCGAGCGUUAUCCGUAUUUAUUGGGUUUAAAGGGUGCGUGGGCGGAGCGUUAAGUCAGUGGUAAAAUUGAGGGGAUCAACCCCUUCCCGCCAUUGAAACUGGCGUUCUUGAGUGGAAGAGAAGUAUGCGGAAUGCGUGGUGUAGCGGUGAAAUGCAUAGAUAUCACGCAGAACCCCGAUUGCGAAGGCAGCAUGCCGGCUUCCGACUGACGCUGAAGCACGAAAGCGUGGGGAGCGAACAGGAUUAGAUACCCUGGUAGUC